UCGAUUCCCUAUGGGGUGCAGCAGGCGCGCAAACUUUACAAUGCGAGCAAUCGUGAUAAGGAAACCCUGAGUGCCUGUCGAUGCAGGCUGUUCAUAUAUCUAAAUCAUAUGUGAAGAAAGGGCAGGGCAAGACCGGUGCCAGCCGCCGCGGUAAUACCGGCUGCUCGAGUGAUGGCCACUAUUACUGGGUUUAAAGCGUCCGUAGCUUGACUGUUAGGUCUCUUGGGAAAUCUUCACGCUCAACGUGAAGGCGUCUAAAAGAUACCGGCAGUCUUGGAACUGGGAGAGGUAAACCGUACUUCGGGGGUAGGAGUGAAAUCUUGUAAUCCUCGAGGGACGACCUAUGGCGAAGGCAGUUUACCAAAACAGCUUCGACAGUGAGGGACGAAAGCUGGGGGAGCAAACGGGAUUAGAUACCCCGGUAGUCCCAGCCGUAAACAAUGUGCGUUAGGUGUGUCGGUAACCACGUGUUACUGAUGCGCCGAAAANAAAUCGUGAAACGCACCACCUGGGAAGUACGGUCGCAAGGCUGAAACUUAAAGGAAUUGGCGGGGGAGCACCACAACAGGUGGAGCCUGCGGUUUAAUUGGAUUCAACGCCGGACAUCUCACCGGAUAAGACAGCUGAAUGAUUGUCAAUCUGAAGGUUUUACAUGACUAGCUGAGAGGA
rnacentral:rRNA from 1 species